CCUACGGGAGGCAGCAGUAGGGAAUCUUCCACAAUGGGCGAAAGCCUGAUGGAGCAACGCCGCGUGAGUGAUGAAGGCCUUCGGGUUGUAAAACUCUGUCAUUCGGGACGAACCGGAGUCUGAGGAAAUGCAGACUCUCUGACGGUACCGGAGGAGGAAGCCCCGGCUAACUACGUGCCAGCAGCCGCGGUAAUACGUAGGGGGCAAGCGUUGUCCGGAUUCACUGGGCGUAAAGCGCGCGCAGGCGGUGAUGUAAGUCUGAGGUGAAAACCCGAAGCUCAACUUCGGGACUGCCUUGGAUACUGCGUCACUUGAGGAUAGGAGAGGCAAGGGGAAUUCCACGUGUAGCGGUGAAAUGCGUAGAGAUGUGGAGGAACACCUGUGGCGAAGGCGCCUUGCUGGCCUAUUUCUGACGCUGAGGCGCGAAAGCGUGGGGAGCAAACAGGAUUAGAUACCCUGGUAGUCCACGCUGUAAACGAUGAGUGCUAGGUGCGAGGUGGGCGUCACUACCCACUCUGUGCCGACGACGUAACGACAUUAAGUACGACUCCCGCCCGUCGGGGUAGGUACGGGUCGGCGACGAACGUAGUAAACGUUAAAACGUUAAGUAAGUUAGGUACGGGACGGUUGAGGACGUUACGCCGGACGGGACGACCGACCGAGGGGAGGGUAGGGAG
rnacentral:rRNA from 1 species